UAUUAUAAGAUGGAUUUUCCUUAUCUUUUCAGUGCUGUGGAAUAUGCACUGUGUGGGCCUAAAGAUCACAGAAGAUUCAGUCAACAUGAAUUGAAUGGCAUUGUAUGACCAAGGCCGGUGGAGCCCAGACCUCUCGCAGAUCAAAGUCUAAGGCAGACAUCCUCUGCUCACUUGAAGGAGGGAACAAAAGGCGACACACACCAGAUAAUUCCAAACGAACACCUUCAGUCACCCGGCCAGCGUCAAUCAAUGCGCCGUUUCUGCCAGAAAAGCCUAUACAGAGACACUUGACCUCUUACUACUUCUUAAGGCAAUUAAAACCAGGUGGGGCUGCACAUUGGUGGUGGUGGAGGGGAGUCCCCAUUACCUGUAAAGCGCUUUGAGUGGAGUGUCCAGAAAAGCGCUAUAUAAGUGUAAGCAAUUAUUAUUAUUAAAAUUACUAAAGGCGUAUUUUAAGUUCUUUUAUGCAUAUGCGCUUGUCCAUAAUUCCAUAAUCUACCCCUACCCCUGGCUCACACUCAUGUUUUUUUUUUAAUUGCAUGUUAUUUAACUUCUUGUUACUGCUGCUGUUCUUUGUUCAU
rnacentral:lncRNA from 1 species